UACGGGAGGCAGCAGUGGGGGAUAUUGCACAAUGGGGGGAACCCUGAUGCAGCGACGCCGCGUGAGUGAAGAAGUUAUUCGUAAUGUAAAGCUCUAUCAGCAGGGAAGAAGCAGACGGUACCUGACUAAGAAGCACCGGCUAAAU
rnacentral:rRNA from 1 species